rnacentral:rRNA from 1 species
ACUCCUACGGGAGGCAGCAGUGGGGAAUAUUGCACAAUGGGGGAAACCCUGAUGCAGCCAUGCCGCGUGUGUGAAGAAGGCCUUCGGGUUGUAAAGCACUUUCAGUAGGGAGGAAGGUAGUGUAGUUAAUACCUGCAUUAUUUGACGUUACCUACAGAAGAAGCACCGGCUAACUCCGUGCCAGCAGCCGCGGUAAUACGGAGGGUGCGAGCGUUAAUCGGAAUUACUGGGCGUAAAGCGCAUGCAGGCGGCCUGUUAAGUCAGAUGUGAAAGCCCGGGGCUUAACCUCGGAAUUGCAUUUGAAACUGGCAGGCUAGAGUCUUGUAGAGGGGGGUAGAAUUUCAGGUGUAGCGGUGAAAUGCGUAGAGAUCUGAAGGAAUGCCAGUGGCGAAGGCGGCCCCCUGGACAAAGACUGACGCUCAGAUGCGAAAGCGUGGGGAGCAAACAGGAUUAGAUACCCUGGGAGCACAGAG